rnacentral:rRNA from 1 species
GAUGAACGCUGGCGGCGUGCUUAACACAUGCAAGUCGAACGGAAAGGCCCAAGCUUGCUUGGGUACUCGAGUGGCGAACGGGUGAGUAACACGUGGGUGAUCUGCCCUGCACUUCGGGAUAAGCCUGGGAAACUGGGUCUAAUACCGGAUAGGACCACUUCUUGGAUGUUGUGGUGGAAAGUUUUUUCGGUGUGGGAUGAGCUCGCGGCCUAUCAGCUUGUUGGUGGGGUAAUGGCCUACCAAGGCGUCGACGGGUAGCCGGCCUGAGAGGGUGUACGGCCACAUUGGGACUGAGAUACGGCCCAGACUCCUACGGGAGGCAGCAGUGGGGAAUAUUGCACAAUGGGCGCAAGCCUGAUGCAGCGACGCCGCGUGGGGGAGGACGGCCUUCGGGCUGUAAACUCCUUUCGCUAGGGACGAAGCGUUUUGUGACGGUACCUGGAGAAGAAGCACCGGCUAACUACGUG